rnacentral:rRNA from 1 species
CAGGUAGGACUACCGCUGAACU